rnacentral:rRNA from 2 species
CAGCUUGCUGCUUUGCUGACGAGUGGCGGACGGGUGAGUAAUGUCUGGGAAACUGCCUGAUGGAGGGGGAUAACUACUGGAAACGGUGGCUAAUACCGCAUAACGUCGCAAGACCAAAGAGGGGGACCUUCGGGCCUCUUGCCAUCAGAUGUGCCCAGAUGGGAUUAGCUUGUUGGUGAGGUAACGGCUCACCAAGGCGACGAUCCCUAGCUGGUCUGAGAGGAUGACCAGCCACACUGGAACUGAGACACGGUCCAGACUCCUACGGGAGGCAGCAGUGGGGAAUAUUGCACAAUGGGCGCAAGCCUGAUGCAGCCAUGCCGCGUGUAUGAAGAAGGCCUUCGGGUUGUAAAGUACUUUCAGCGGGGAGGAAGGUGUUGUGGUUAAUAACCGCAGCAAUUGACGUUACCCGCAGAAGAAGCACCGGCUAACUCCGUGCCAGCAGCCGCGGUAAUACGGAGGGUGCAAGCGUUAAUCGGAAUUACUGGGCGUAAAGCGCACGCAGGCGGUCUGUCAAGUCGGAUGUGAAAUCCCCGGGCUCAACCUGGGAACUGCAUUCGAAACUGGCAGGCUUGAGUCUUGUAGAGGGGGGUAGAAUUCCAGGUGUAGCGGUGAAAUGCGUAGAGAUCUGGAGGAAUACCGGUGGCGAAGGCGGCCCCCUGGACAAAGACUGACGCUCAGGUGCGAAAGCGUGGGGAGCAAACAGGAUUAGAUACCCUGGUAGUCCACGCCGUAAACGAUGUCUACUUGGAGGUUGUGCCCUUGAGGCGUGGCUUCCGGAGCUAACGCGUUAAGUAGACCGCCUGGGGAGUACGGCCGCAAGGUUAAAACUCAAAUGAAUUGACGGGGGCCCGCACAAGCGGUGGAGCAUGUGGUUUAAUUCGAUGCAACGCGAAGAACCUUACCUGGUCUUGACAUCCACAGAAGAAUCCAGAGAUGGAUUUGUGCCUUCGGGAACUGUGAGACAGGUGCUGCAUGGCUGUCGUCAGCUCGUGUUGUGAAAUGUUGGGUUAAGUCCCGCAACGAGCGCAACCCUUAUCCUUUGUUGCCAGCGGUUAGGCCGGGAACUCAAAGGAGACUGCCAGUGAUAAACUGGAGGAAGGUGGGGAUGACGUCAAGUCAUCAUGGCCCUUACGACCAGGGCUACACACGUGCUACAAUGGCGCAUACAAAGAGAAGCGACCUCGCGAGAGCAAGCGGACCUCAUAAAGUGCGUCGUAGUCCGGAUUGGAGUCUGCAACUCGACUCCAUGAAGUCGGAAUCGCUAGUAAUCGUGGAUCAGAAUGCCACGGUGAAUACGUUCCCGGGCCUUGUACACACCGCCCGUCACACCAUGGGAGUGGGUUGCAAAAGAAGUAGGUAGCUUAACCUUCGGGAGGGCGCUUACCACUUUGUGAUUCAUGACUGGGGUGAAGUCGUAACAAGGUAACCGUAGGGGAACCUGCGGUUGGAUCACCUCCUUACCUUAAAGAA